rnacentral:RNase_P_RNA from 1 species
CGAGCGGGCCAGACGAUCGCGCGCUUCGGCGUGAGGAAAGUCCGGGCUCCAUAGGGCAAGAUGCCAGCUAACGGCUGGGCGGGGCGACCCGACGGAAAGUGCCACAGAAAAGAAGACUCCCCCGCGAACACGCGCUUCGGCGCGCAGAAACGGGAGAAAAGCUGAAACGGUGCGGUAAGAGCGCACCAGCGCGCCGGCAACGGCGCGGCUUGGAAAACCCCAUCUGGAGCAAGCGCAAAUAGGAACGCGACACGGUU